rnacentral:misc_RNA from 1 species
AUUAUUUACCUCACGUUGGAAAAACGAGCAUUGUAAUUGUCAACCGUGUCAACACACGUCGAAAUUGUAAGGCGUCCACCUCAACCACAGAACAAAACUGAGAAUGUCGCAGUUUAGCGUUGUAACGCAGAGUCAAGUAAAUGUGCGAGUCACUAGCUCGGCCAAUUCAUUUGGAACAGAGAAAAGGUUCCCAAAAGAUUUGACUAUAGCCGAUUUUAAGAAUAAAUUAGAGCUGUUGACAGGUUCUACAGCUGGGAAUAUGAAACUAGAGGCUUAUGACAGAGACAACAAAUUGGUGUGUAAGUUAGACGACAAUAAUGCUCUUCUUGGUUCCUAUCCCAUUGAUGAUGGAAUGAUAAUACAUGUUGUAGAUCCAACAAUCAAAGUUGGGGAGUUCGAAGAUCUAUCUAAAGUGGAAAAGUUUGAAAUUUCUGAGGAAGAGUAUGCAAAAAAGUCAGACUCUGUUCGAGCAUUUAAAGAAAGAAAUAAAUUAGGAAGAUUCCAAGAAGUAGAUCCAGAAGAAAAGAAGAGACAAGAGGAAGAAAAACAAAGGAAAGAGCAGGAAAACAAAGAAAGAGCUGAAAAAAUGAAAAUUGGAGAUAGGUAAGAAAUGGAGAUGGCGCUGGGUUAGAUGAAGUUUUUUAUUCAAAACACUAAGGUCAACUUCAGUGAGAUUUCACUUUGUGAUCAAUUUUGUCUCCGCCAUAAAGUGACCGGGGACAUAUAGUUUUACCCCGGUUUGUCUUUUUGUCCAUCUGUCAUCAUUAACUUUCCAUUCAUUAACUAAGCAACAGUUAUACACAUCCAAGUCCAUUUGAUAUAUGGGUAUGUCAUAGGAAUAUGCAGAUAAAGGUUGAUUUUGGUCAAUGCCUGAUGAUAUUUGAUCGAGUUAUCCCCCUUGAAUUGAUAAAUUUUCAGUUACCACUCUUUAACUUAUGGAGGGAUGUAUAUAUCAAAUGAAAUUGCAUAAACAGGGUGUUUUUUUUUCCCAGAUAAUACCUGUCAAGAUUAAAUUUGGUCCAGGUCAAAUGAUCGUAGGCAGAGUUAUGUUGCUUGAACUUAGAAAAAAAUAACAGAUUUUUUUACUUUCCAAUCUUUAACUUUGAUGGGAUGUAUAUUUAAAGUUGAAAUUGCUUAAGUAUUUUACUAGACAAUACAGGUCAAAUUUGAUUUUGGUCCUGGUCCUAUGAUUUUUGACAGAAUUAUGCCCUAGAACUUAGAAGAAAAAAAUGUUCUGUGCAGACAACUGUAAAACUAAAUACAUGUAUAGCUUUUGAAAUUUUGGCUGUUUGCAGGGACAUUUGUGGUGUUAUGACAAAUCUAUUUAGCAAUAUGGAAUAUUAAAAAUCUAAGAGGACUGACUAUUUCUGUUAUUCUUGAACCAUGUACUAGUGAGUAAUUUUUAAAACCCUGUAUAUAUAGUUAUUUUCAGACCAUGCUCAUUUCAAUAAUUUGCAAAAGAAUUUGCUGAGGCAUUACUACAUGGUAAAUGUUAAAUUGAGACAACUGUGAAAUGUUUGAAUUUGCUUUGUUUUAAUUUUCUGAUUGUAACUGAAAACGGAGAAUAUAUAAAAUGGGGUGGGGAGGGGGGCAAAAACUACCCCAUACAUGGUUAUCUUCAGUGAAUGAUGCAAUUAAAGUCUUUAUUCAUUAACAUUAAAAAUUGACCCCCCCCCCC